GGGUGCAUGGCCUAAUGGUAAGGCGUCAGAUUUCGGUUAACCUACGACCUCCUCUGAAGAUUGCAGGUUCGAUCCCUGCUGUGCUCG